rnacentral:lncRNA from 1 species
CUCUAACAAAUACAGGGGAUCUCUGGCAUGACGUGACACUUCCUAAGGCUCCCAUGGGCUCUCAGAAGGCGGGAAAAAGCUGAACGAUGUAAUUCCAUCCCCAGGCUGAAACACAUUAGCGCGUUUGGCAAGUGCUCUAUCAGAGGGCCAUUAGACAGAGGCUCGUGCAUGAGGGGAUAGCAUGCUUUUACUUUCACUGUCUUUGUAAUAAAAAACGAUUUCCCGGUCGGAAUAUUAUCGCUUUUUUACGAGAAAAAUGGCAUAAAAAUUGAAUUUAAACAGCGGUUGACAUGCUUCGAAGUACGUUAAUGGAAUAUUUAGAAUUUUUUUGUCACGAAAUGCGCCAUGCUCGUCACCCUUAUUUACCCUUUUCAAUAGUGUCUUAAACGCACGAACAAAACACCGCUAUUUGGAUAUAACAAUGGAUUAUUUGGGACCAAACCAACAUUUGUUAUUGAAGUAGAAGUCCUGGGAGUGCAUUCUGACGAAGAACAGCAAAGGUAUUUGAAUAUCACGCCACGGGAUUACACUGGCUGUUGAGUAGGUGGGACGCAAGCGUCCCACCUAGCCCAUAGAGGCUAGAAGACUCUCACUGCUCCGGACGACCAGGUGUUUUUGCGCUUGUGAGGCUGACGUGAGGAAAACUCUCAAACGAGUGAAUACUCACAAAGCCGCUAACUCAGAUGGCAUUCCUGGCUGCGUCCUCAGUGUGUGCUGACAAGCUGGAGACUUCUUCUCGGACAUCAUCAACUUGUCCCUGUCCUAGGCUUUAGUCCCCACCUGCUUUAAGGAGAUCACCAUCGUCCAAGUGCCCAAGAAAAACAAGGUGACAUACCCAAAUGGCAAUCGCUCCAUCGCACUCACCCUGGUCAUCAUGAAGUCCUUCGAGAGGCUGGUCAUGGCCAGCAUGCCAGGCACACUGGACCAGCUCUAAUAUGCCAACCACUCCAACAGAUCCACGGAAAAUGCAAUUUUUACCGCUUCUGUAUUUACACGACCGUAAGACAUCUGGACAAGAGGAC